CGUUCUCGGGGCGGGGUGAAACUCCCCACCGGCGGUAAUUGCGCAACGGGCUCAUUGGCCCGCUCAUAAGCCCGCGAGCGCCCACCAAGGUUCGGUGGGGUCAGCAGAUUCGGUGUAAUUCCGAAGCCGACGGUCAUAGUCCGGAUGGAAGAGAGUG
rnacentral:ncRNA from 1 species